AUUUGGAGGAGCUGGCAAGACAACUAGAAAUUUCAUCCUGCAGACCUCAGUACUGAUUGAACGUUUUAUAACAAGCAUGAGAACAUUACCUGUGGUGGAGGAUAUAACUAUGGAGACUGGAGUCCCUGCCCUCAGUAAACUCACGGUCACUUGGACCCGCAAGUGCACAAGAAGAUGGGGUGGAAUAGAAAAGUGGCACUGAGCUGAUACCCAGCUUGCCAAAGUCAAGCCUGUGUCCUCACAAACUCCAGAGCUAAGCAAAGGGAGGAUGAAUCACAGAAAUACAUGGCUUUAAAGCACUGAGGUCAGGACUGUGCACCCAUUAAAAAGAACAAGGCAGAGCCAUAUGUGCUGACAGGGAGCAAGCCCAGAACACACUGGACACUGACAAAAAAUUCAAAUGGAAGUGCAAAGAUCCUGGAAGAGCCAAAACAAGUCUGGAAAAGAACAGAGUUGAAGAACUAACGGUACAUGAUUUCAAGAACUAUUAUAUAGCUACACUAUUUAAAACACCACGGUAUUGGCGUAAUGGUAGACAAAACGAUCAGUGGUAUAGAGUAGAGUGCGCAUGCGUAAAAAACUCUAGAAGGAUAUACAAAAAACUAAUGGCAUUUACUAUCUUCUCGCAGGCUGGGAGUUGGUUGGAUGAAGAGCAGGAGGGGGAGCUUUAUACAUAUUUAAUGUGUGAAUCAUGUGAAUGUAUUACCUAUUCAAAAAAUGAAAUUCAAAAGCACUUAUGCCGCUUCUUAAGGCACAGUUUAUGCUAAAUUUCGAGAGCAAAUUAUCAGGAAGUAUUGCAAAUCUUCCAUUUUGGUAAGAAAAAAAGUCAAAUUGUCCAUCAGAUCAAUUUAAGCCAAGGUUUGGAUCCUGGGGCUAUUGUUGUUUACAAAGACACUAAGUUAUUUCUGAGAACAUUAGGAAAUGUUGCGUCUGAGCAAGGUAUUUUUUAACCCUAUGCCGUGGUCACAUCUGGUCCCAAAGCAAAGAAACUCUUUAUCAAGAAAGAAGGUGAAUUUCUGGUUCCCUCCUCCAUCUGAGAUCUCAACCAACAAGACUUUUUCCUUUUCCUUCCUUUUCUUUUUUUAAUUGAAAUAUAGUUAAUUUACAAUGCUGUGUUUUCUUUUUUAAGGCAGUUUUAUCGAAGUAUGAUUGGCAGACAAUAAACUGUACACAUUUAAAGUGUAUAAUUUGAUGGUUGACAUAUGUAUUGAAAAUUGCAAAAUCUCUCAACACGAAGACUCCAUCCAAUCCCCAACACUAAGAGACUUGACCAAACUCUAACUUGGCUCCUAGUAGCCUAACGCUGUGUCCCUGGGUUGACCCAGCCCCCCUAAGUUCCUGCCUGGGAAAACCCAGGCUGCCAAAAGAAUUUACUGUUUGUUCCAGCCAAGACCUGAUAAGCCCCCAUCUCCCUUUUCUUAGAGCAUUUAUGCUAGAAAACUUGCAAUUGUAAGUCCUUUGUCCUGUCCCUUUGAGAAGUAUAUGUAUCUUCUACAACCCAGGAAUGUCUUUCUCAAACGGAGCCUUUCCUUUGAAAUGUGACCAUCAAGAAGGAUAAGGCCCCUGUCAUGCAGUCUUUGUGGGAGGGUAGGAACCAACUUCAAUAAGCACCAGUUAGCAGACACAGGUGGCAGAAUCAUAUCUCUCUCUCUUUUUUUUUGAGAGCUAUUUAAAGUAUUUGAAUAUUAAAAAUUCUAAUUUUUCAUAAAGAUGCAUUAUAAUUGCAAGGAGCUUACAAGAAUUAUCUUCCUAUUAAACAUCUCCUAGAAAAUACAUAUUCCACUAAAGCAAAGAUUACUAGCUACCCUCCAAAAUAUGCGUUACCACAUUAAUAAUGCAGAAUUUUAUUUUAGGAAGAAGCGCAUGAGGGAGAGACUUCAUUUCCCAUUCCCUUCUUUUGUUUUGCCCACAAACCGUCUGCUUGUAGAAAAUACACCCAUAAUUAUCAUUAAUAUAAUUGUCUCAGCUUUUAGCAUCCUCCUUAAUAAACACGUCAGGAUGAGGAAAUGCUAAGAAAGGCAAACCUUUGCCUGGAAUGGGCAUUACCUCUAAUCACAUCUCUUAAUGUCCUCUAGGACUUCUCCUUAGUUCACUCUGGCGUUUACUUUUUAAUUUAAUUUAAUUUAAUUUUCACCUCAAUGUUUAAAAGGCCCUCCCUACCCUCCCCAUCCAUUCCUCAACCUCAGGCAACCACCGAUGUGCUUUCUGUCCAUAUAAAUUGCAUUUCCGAGACUCCCUCCCCCAGUUUUAUUGAGAUAGAGUUGACCCACAUCACAGUAUAAAUUUAAGGUUGUUGAAGAAAAUUCAAUUGACUAUGAAGUUAAGAGGAAAAGAAGGGAAUUUUAUUAGAACCAAACUGAGAAUUAUAACCGCGGAAGCAGAUUCUCAGAAAGCUCUGAGAACUCUUCCUCCUGUUGGAAGUCGAAUACACUUUUUGAGACAAAGGGUCAUACAUCAAAAUGACAUACUGAUAUGUUACAUAAAGUUCACUAAGGAUACAUAGUCCAGGUAAGCACGUACAAAGCAAGCAGCAAGUCACCAUGACCCCCCACAGAGCUGCGAAAGAACGCUAUUCUUUAAGUUAUAUUCCUAGCAUCAGAAGAAAGAAAAAAAAAAGAUCUUUAUGGUUGAGCAGGCUCUCCCAUCUCUGAGAAGCCCUGGUUAAUGUGUAAUGCAGAUGCACACUGCACAUCAGGGAGGGAGGAGGCCCAAACAGACACACAAAGAGAAUUUUAUAUUUAAUUUGUUCUUGUCCAGUCUUAAAAUAUAAAUUUUAUUUCAUCAAGGUGCACAGCAUAAUGGUUUCAUUUACGUAUAUUGCGAAAUGAUCACCACAAUAAGUUUAGUUAACAUCCAUCAUUUCACACAGAUACAACAAAAAGAGAAAUCAAAAAGGAAAAACGUGUUUUCCUUGUGAUGAGACCUCUGAGGAUGCCCUUUCUUAACAACUUUCCUACAUAUCACACAGCAGUGUUAACUACCGUCAUCAUGCUGUACAUUACAGCCCUGGUAAUUAUUUAUCUUGUAACUGAAAGUUUGUACCUUUUGAUCACCUUUCAACAAUUCCAAUUCUAAAAAAUGUAGACUUUUAAAAUAUAUAUGGAAUCAUACAAAUAUUUAUUCUCUUUUUGUCUGGUUUCUUCACUCAGAAAAAUUGAGAGCCAUCCAUGUUGUUGUGUGUGUCAAUAGUUCAUUCCUUUUUAUUGCUGGGGAGUACUCUAUUCUGUAGAUAUAUUACAUUCUUUCUUAUCCAUUUACCCACGGAUGGGGGUAGUUUCCUGG